CUCCUUUUGCUCAAUUUCUCUCCAAGAUUAAUAAGAACAAGUAAGGGUUCAAUUGGGGGUUUCAAGAUUCAAGCCAAGAUCACCGUAAAUUUCCACGGAUUCUUAAUCUAAGGUAUGCGUAGUGUUGAUUUAUGGAUCCCUUUCAUCCAUAAAGCUCAAGAACCCUCUUUUAAAUUAAGAACCAUGAAUUUAUGUUGUUAAAGUUGGAUGAUGCCCAAGAUGAGAUCUUUGUAUGUUUGUAUGAAACCAUGGUGGUAUAUGAUGUAUAAAUAUGUGAAAUUGGUGGUUGAAAACUUGUAAUCUUGAUGAAUCCACCUAUUCCUAAGAUGUGCAUGUAAGGUGUUUGUGAAAAUACCUAAGAGACUAGAAAUCAUGCUUUUAUGACAUAAUAGGCCCUAAAUGACUAGUCCAUGCUCCAUGCUCAUGUUCAACAUAAUUUCCAUGCUAUUGUCUUGAAUUGAAGAUGUUGUAUAAGAUGCUCAUGAUAUGGUUAUGAAUGUUGAUAGGAUGAUCAUGAAAAUAGAUUGAUGAACUCAUGGCAUAUUGAUUAUAUAAAAUCCCUCUCGUGUAUAGGAUGUUCAAGAACCAUGUAUAAUAUGAAAUCUUCAAGUUAUGAUGUUAUGAAAUGUGGACUUUAGUCCAAUGAUCAAGAAUUAUCAUGUUGUGUCAGUUUCCUUCCAUCGAUUCCUAGGGGUACUUGUACCCAAAAAAUAUAGUUGUGUGCCUAGAGCCAUGUCAUGUUUUCUCGAUAUCCACAGUCAAGCCAUGUUCCAUAGAACUCAGUCAGUCAUGUGACUCAGGAAAAAUGCAGUAACUUAGUAUUCUCAGAAAUCUCAUGAACUCAGUCAGUCGUAAGUAGUAUUUCGUCAGUCAACGGAACUCAGUAACUCAGCUCAGUAUUCAUGUUCAGUGUCUAUUCAGAUGGGAGAAGGAGUCAGCACCGAGCGAACCCAAGGAUGCGAAUCCACACUGCCAGAUGGAGGGUGAGAUUCCUAGAAGCAAUUCUUGUGUUCCAGAACUAUGUAGCCAGCAUAGGUUGAGACAUCAACACUACUAAAUUUAGAGUUGAUGAGGCGGAUACCCGCCGUUCUCUUAUGGGGACACUGCCAGAUUAGAGGGUCACUCACAGCUUGUCUUUAUUCGUGACACGGUAUUGGCACCCUUCCAAUUAGGGUACAGAUUGGACUCCGAUUUAGCUAUUUAAGCAUAUUUGGGGCAUGUCGGUUAGAUGAAUUCUCCCACAGUUUUAGUUACAGAAUCAAGACUAUCAGAUACAGUCAGUAAUAAAACUUAGAUAGUUCUUCAGUUUUUAGGAUUGUCAGAUAUAGUCAACUCAGAUACAGUACAAAACUCAGCUAGUUCCAUCAGAUUCAGGAUUGUUAGAUACAGUCAUUCAUGUUAUCAGCUAUAUCAGUUAUCAGAACUCACUUAUCAGUCAUGCUAGAUAUCAAUAAACUAUGUUAUCAGUAUUCAGUUUCAGGACUAUCAGAUACAGUCGAUCAGACCAGUUCUUCAUAAUUAGAACUGUCAGAAAUGAUCAUUUACUUAUCAGUAAUAUAAUAUCAGUCUCUCAGUAUUCCAUAAUACAGUAUCAGUUCCUCACUUAUUAGUGACCCAAAUAUCACUAUUAGCUAACUCAAUCAUUCAGUAUCUCAAUAUCAAUAAACUCAUAUGUCAGCAUUCAGAAUCAGUAGUCAGUAUCACUACAAAUUUAGUUAUAGUUAUCUGUACGUGUAUGUAUUCUCAUGUUCAUAUCAGUCAGCAUUGUUCAUGCAUAUAAACCCUUUGCAUAUAGCAUACCUCACUCGUAUACUCAGUACAUUCAGUCGUACUGACGUAUUUGCGCUAUGGUUUUUGUUUUAAUGUUACACCAUAGGUUCAAAGGCACGAGUUUCAGAGCAGCAGUAGCAUUGCAAAUUUCAGUAGUCAGUGCCAGCAGUGAGUCUUCUUCAUUCGAGGAUGAUAUGAUUAUUACUUUAUUUAUCAUUUCAAUUUAGUUUUUAGUUAAUGGAGUUAGUUGGAGACAUGUUCCUUCAACUCCUUAUUCAGUACAGUUAGAGGCUUUCAGACUACACCAUGUCAGACAGUUAUUUCAGAUUUGUGCUGGUAUUGUU
rnacentral:lncRNA from 1 species